CCUACGGGAGGCAGCAGUGAGGAAUAUUGGUCAAUGGGCGCGAGCCUGAACCAGCAAAGUAGCGUGAAGGAUGACUGCCCUACGGGUUGUAAACUUCUUUUAUAAAGGAAUAAAGUGAGGCACGUGUGCCUUAUUGUAUGUACUUUAUGAAUAAGGAUCGGCUAACUCCGUGCCAGCAGCCGCGGUAAUACGGAGGAUCCGAGCGUUAUCCGGAUUUAGUGGGGUUAAAGGGAGCGUAGAUGGGUUGUUAAGUCAGUUGUGAAAGUUUGCGGCUUAACCGUAAAAUUGCAUUUGAAACUGGCAUCCUUGAGUACAGUAGAGGUAGGCGGAAUUCGUGGUGUAGCGGUGAAAUGCUUAGAUAUCACGAAGAACUCCGAUUGCGAAGGCAGCCUACUAAACUGCCACUGACAUUGAUGCUCGAAAGUGUGGGUAUCAAACAGGAUUAGAUACCCGAGUAGUC
rnacentral:rRNA from 1 species